rnacentral:tRNA from 1 species
AAGACGCUAGUAUAAUAUACACUGCCUUGUCAAGGCAGAGUUGUGGGUUAGAUCCCCGCGUGUCUUA